rnacentral:rRNA from 1 species
UGGGGAAUCUUGCGCAAUGGGGGGAACCCUGACGCAGCGACGCCGCGUGCGGGAUGGAGGCCUUCGGGUCGUAAACCGCUUUCAGCAGGGAUGAGACAAGACGGUACCUGCAGAAGAAGCCCCGGCUAACUACGUGCCAGCAGCCGCGGUAAUACGUAGGGGGCGAGCGUUAUCCGGAUUCAUUGGGCGUAAAGAGCGCGUAGGCGGCCGGAAGGGCCGGGGGUCAAAUGCGGAGGCUCAACCCCGCCCGCCCCGGCCAGACCGCCCGGCUCGGGUCCGGCAGGGGAGGGUGGAACACCCGGUGUAGCGGUGGAAUGCGCAGAUAUCGGGUGGAACACCGGUGGCGAAGGCGGCCCUCUGGGCCGAGACCGACGCUGAGGCGCGAAAGCUGGGGGAGCGAACAGGAUUAGAUACC